rnacentral:rRNA from 1 species
GACGUAGGGCGCGAGCGUUGUCCGGAAUCAUUGGGCGUAAAGCGCGUGUAGGCGGCCCGAUAAGUCCGCUGUGAAAGUCCAGGGCUCAACCCUGGAAUGCCGGUGGAUACUGUCGGGCUCGAGUCCGGAAGAGGCGAGUGGAAUUCCUGGUGUAGCGGUGAAAUGCGCAGAUAUCAGGAGGAACACCAAUGGCGAAGGCAGCUCGCUGGGACGUGACUGACGCUGAGACGCGAAAGCGUGGGGAGCAAACAGG